rnacentral:rRNA from 1 species
AUUGAACGCUGGCUGCAGGCCUAACACAUGCAAGUCGAGCGGAGCGGCGGACGGGCGAGUAAUGCCUAGGAAUCUGCCUGGUAGUGGGGUAUAACGGCCGGAACCUGUCGCUAAUACCGCAUACUAUCAUCUGAGCCUAGGUCGGGUUAGCUAGUUGGUGGGGUAAAGUAAUACCAAGGCUACGAUCCGUAACUAGUCUGAGGGGAUGAUCAGUCACACUGGAAUGGAACCACGGUCCAGUCUAAUACGGGAGGGAGCGGUGGGGAAUGUUGGACAAGGGGCGAAGGGCUGGUCCAGCCAAGCCGAGUGUGGUGAGGGGGUAUUGGGAUAUGAAAGCUCUUUAAGUUGGAUGGAGUUACCAACAGAAUAAGCACCGGCUAACUUCGUGCCAGCAGCCGCGGUAAUAC